rnacentral:tRNA from 1 species
GCCUUCGUGGUGUAGUGGUCUGCAUGCUCAACGCGUAACCGAGAGAUCCGUGGUUCGAUUCCCGGCGAAGGCG